AACGAACGCUGGCGGCGCGCCUAACACAUGCAAGUCGAACGAGAAGGCGUAGCAAUACGCUUGUAGAGUGGCGAACGGGUGAGUAAUACGUGGGUGACCUACCCUCGAGUGGGGAAUAACCCGCCGAAAGGCGGGCUAAUGCCGCGUACGCUUCCGUCCUCACGGGGACGGAAGGAAAGCUGUACCGUGGGUACGGCGCUCAAGGAUGGGCUCACGUCCUAUCAGCUUGUUGGUAGGGUAACGGCCUACCAAGGCUACGACGGGUAGCUGGUCUGAGAGGACGAUCAGCCACACUGGCACUGCGACACGGGCCCAGACUCCUACGGGAGGCAGCAGUGAGGAAUAUUGCGCAAUGGGCGAAAGCCUGACGCAGCGACGCCGCGUGGGGAUGAA
rnacentral:rRNA from 1 species